rnacentral:rRNA from 1 species
ACGAACGCUGGCGGCGUGCCUAAUCCAUGCCAGUAGAACGCUGAAGGAGGAGCUUGCUUCUCUGGAUGAGUUGCGAACGGGUGAGUAACGCGUAGGUAACCUGCCUGGUAGCGGGGGAUAACUAUUGGAAACGAUAGCUAAUACCGCAUAAUAGCAGUUGUUGCAUGACAACUGUUUGAAAGGUGCAAAUGCAUCACUACCAGAUGGACCUGCGUUGUAUUAGCUAGUUGGUGGGGUAAAGGCUCACCAAGGCGACGAUACAUAGCCGACCUGAGAGGGUGAUCGGCCACACUGGGACUGAGACAUGGCCCAGACCCCUGCGGGAGGCAGCAGUAGGGAAUCUUCGGCAAUGGACGGAAGUCUGACCAAGCAACGCCGCGUGAGUGAAGAAGGGUUUCGGAUCGUAAAGCUCUGUUGUAAGAGAAGAACGAGUGUGAGAGUGGAAAGUUCACACUGUGACGGUAUCUUACCAGAAAGGGACGGCUAACUACGUG